AAAGGUAGCAUAAUCACUUGUCUCUUAAUUGGGGACUAGUAUGAAUGGCACCACGAGGGCUCAACUGUCUCUUAUUCCCAAUCAGUGAAAUUGACCUUCCCGUGCAGAGGCGGGAAUAUGAAUACAAGACGAGAAGACCCUGUGGAGCUUAAGUCAUACAACUCAAAAAAUACUAACACAAAACCCAUCGGUACAAAAACGUAUAAACCACUGAGUUAGAGUCUUUGGUUGGGGUGACCUCGGAGCACAAAACAACCUCCGAAUGAAUAUAACCUAGAUUGACCAAUCUAAGUGUAAUACUACCAGUAAUUGACCCAUCUUUUGAUCAACGGAACAAGUUACCCCAGGGAUAACAGCGCAAUCCUAUUUGAGAGCUCAUAUCGAAAAUUAGGGUUUACGACCUCGAUGUUGGAUCAGGACACCCAAAUGGUGCAACCGCUAUUAAAGGUUCGUUUGUUCAACGAUUAAAGUCCUACGUGAUCUGAGUUCAGACCGGAGAAAUCCAGGUCGGUUUCUAUCUGUAAAUUCAUUUCUCCCAGUACGAAAGGACAAGAGAAAUAGGGCCAACGUACCAAAUAAGCCCUAGAACCAAUAUAUGAACCAAUCUUAAUAUAUAAAAUCAAUUUAUACCUCUCCAAGAAAAGGGUUGUUAAGA
rnacentral:rRNA from 1 species